AUCGCUUCUCGGCCUUUUGGCUUAGAUCAAGUGUAGUAUCUGUUCACGUCAGCUUAAUAAAGCCAAUUAGAUUUUCACACAAAAAAGAAAAGGGUGCCUAGCUGGCCCAGUCAACAGAGUAUUUGACUCUUAAUCUUGGAAUUGUGAGUUUGAGCUCCACUUUGGGGAUGGAGUUUACCUAAAAGAAAGAAAGACAGAGAGGAAGAAUUCAAACUCUUUAAUUUUUU
rnacentral:snRNA from 1 species